AUCACUUCUUAGUCUUUUGGCUAAGAUCAAGUGUAGUAUCUGUUCUUAUCAGUUCAGUAGUUGGAUAGUCCCAUAUUCUUUCCCCUAUUUUAUGGUAAUCUACUACCUAUA
rfam:Myotis lucifugus cont2.43241, whole genome shotgun sequence.